CCUACGGGGGGCAGCAGUAAGGAAUAUUGGUCAAUGGACGCAAGUCUGAACCAGCCAUGCCGCGUGGAGGAUGACGGCCUCUGGGUUGUAAACUCCUUUUAUCUGGGAAGCGGUACCAGAGGAAUAAGCACCGGCUAACUCCGUGCCAGCAGCCGCGGUAAUACGGAGGGUGCAAGCGUUAUCCGGAUUCACUGGGUUUAAAGGGUGCGUAGGUGGAGUGGUAAGUCAGUGGUGAAAUCUCCAAGCUUAACUUGGAAACUGCCGUUGAUACUAUCAUUCUUGAAUAUCGUGGAGGUAAGCGGAAUAUGUCAUGUAGCGGUGAAAUGCUUAGAUAUGACAUAGAACACCGAUUGCGAAGGCAGCUUGCUACACGAUAUUGACACUGAGGCACGAAAGCGUGGGGAUCAAACAGGAUUAGAUACCCUUGUAGUC
rnacentral:rRNA from 1 species